GACGAACGCUGGCGGCGUGCCUAAUACAUGCAAGUCGAGCGAGCUUGCCUAUUGAAAUUCUUCGGAAUGGACAUAGAUACNNGCUAGCGGCGGAUGGAUGAGUAACGCGUGGGUAACCUGCCCUUAAGUCUGGGAUACCAUUUGGAAACAGAUGCUAAUACCGGAUAAAAGCUACUUUCGCAUGAAAGAAGUUUAAAAGGCGGCGUAAGCUGUCGCUAAAGGAUGGACCUGCGAUGCAUUAGCUAGUUGGUAAGGUAACGGCUUACCAAGGCGAUGAUGCAUAGCCGAGUUGAGAGACUGAUCGGCCACAUUGGGACUGAGACACGGCCCAAACUCCUACGGGAGGCAGCAGUAGGGAAUCUUCCACAAUGGACGCAAGUCUGAUGGAGCAACGCCGCGUGAGUGAAGAAGGUUUUCGGAUCGUAAAGCUCUGUUAUUGGGGAAGAAACAGUGACGGUACCCAAUGAGGAAGUCCCGGCUAACUACGUGCCAGCAGCCGCGGUAAUACGUAGGGGACGAGCGUUGUCCGGAAUCACUGGGCGUAAAGGGCGCGUAGGCGGUUUUAUAAGUCAGAUGUGAAAGGUACCGGCUCAACCGGUGACGUGCAUUUGAAACUGUAAGACUUGAGUACUGAAGGGGCAAGCGGAAUUCCUAGUGUAGCGGUGAAAUGCGUAGAUAUUAGGAAGAACACCGGUGGCGAAGGCGGCUUGCUGGGCAGAUACUGACGCUGAGGUGCGAAAGCGUGGGGAGCGAACAGG
rnacentral:rRNA from 1 species